UGACAUUAGAAAACUGGUUGGGAGAUAGUGU
rnacentral:piRNA from 1 species